UACGUAGGGUGCAAGCGUUAAUCGGAAUUAUUGGGCGUAAAGAGCUCGUAGGCGGUGUGUCGCGUCGGCCGUGAAAACCUGCAGCUUAACUGUGGGCUUGCGGUCGAUACGGGCAUCACUGGAGUUCGGCAGGGGAGACUGGAAUUCCUGGUGUAGCGGUGAAAUGCGCAGAUAUCAGGAGGAACACCGGUGGCGAAGGCGGGUCUCUGGGCCGAUACUGACGUGAGGAGCGAAAGCGUGGGGAGCGAACAGG
rnacentral:rRNA from 1 species